AGAAUCAACGCUGGCGGCGUGCCUAACACAUGCAAGUCGCACGAGAAAGUGGAGCAAUCCACGAGUAAAGUGGCGCACGGGUGAGUAACACGUGAAUAAUCUACCUCCGAGUGGGGAAUAACUGAGAGAAAUCUUAGCUAAUACCGCAUAACACUUACGAGUCAAAGCAGCAAUGCGCUUGGAGAGGAGUUCGCGGCCGAUUAGUUAGUUGGCGGGGUAAUGGCCCACCAAGACGAUGAUCGGUAUCCGGCCUGAGAGGGCGCACGGACACACUGGAACUGAAACACGGUCCAGACUCCUACGGGAGGCAGCAGUGGGGAAUUUUGCGCAAUGGGGGAAACCCUGACGCAGCAACGCCGCGUGGAGGAUGAAAUAUCUUGGUAUGUAAACUCCUUUCGAUGGGGAAGAUAAUGACGGUACCAUAGAAGAAGCCCCGGCUAACUUCGUGCCAGCAGCCGC
rnacentral:rRNA from 1 species